AAUAAAACAGGAAACCUCAAAUUAAGUACUGAGUUAUUACAUAAAUCGGAGUUCUUGAGUAGCAAAUAAAGUUCACAAAAUAAAGUGCAGCGGAUAAUCGAUGUCGUCGGUACUGAGGAAAUGGGCAAGGCCUAGCCCACUACUCCUCGUGCUCCUCUCCUGCCGGAGCAACAACCCACUCGACCGUCCAACCCGGUGGCAGGGUGGUAGGCCAAGUCACACCAUCAACCAAUUCCUGCAUGGUACCUGCAAAAAUGGUGCCACAAGCAAGGCUGAGUAUACUAAUACUCAGCUAGACUUAACCGGUGUGAGGAGUCUACUCCUCUACCUCUAGACCAUGCAGCUGUUUGGCUGAGGGGUUUGGUUUGCCAAAAGCACUAGCUGUUUCUAAAAUCAAUUUUUAGCCUUUCAAGUUCUAUCAUCAUUAACUUAGCUAGGUUUGCUCCUUCUAAGCAUACAUGGUAACAACCAAUUAGUUCAAUCAACGAAUUAUCUCAUGUAACCACAUUUCACUUCUUACUCGAUGCAGUACAAGGAAUCAAGCAGUCUCAUUAGCUGCGAGAAGCAGACGAUUCGAAUCGAGUUUUAAACCUUGCAAGGUAAACCUAAACACACGGCAUGUCAGGGUACUCCGACCCCGCACAUGACAACCGUCCCCAUCGAUUCCCCGUUCGCGUCCAGGCCUCACCGCCUUGGCAUACAAUGGUCCACUGACCCCGGCUGCCGCCGUGUAGUGACCGCACUUGUACCCACCAUAGCUAGCAUGGGAGACCCAGUCUCAGGUCGCAUGAGGGAUAAAGUCCGCACCCGGCUUCACUCAGGUACUAGGUUUACCGGUUACCAUUUUUCCCGGCAUGUGCUUAGUACGUUCAAAAGCUUGACUCAGGUAUCCACACAUUAAUCCUUAAUUCAUUUUUCCCGUCUCAUGGACAAGGCAUCCUCCCUGGAUCCAAAUCCAUAGACCAACAUAGAUCCCGUUAUCAAGAUGAAUACAAUCAAUUCCUGACCUCGCGCGAGUGCUAGAAAAAUCACUCGACUUCUACCGAGAUCCUGAUUAGCAAGCAGCUACUCGACCUAGCAUACUAGUAUUCAUCUCAAAAAGGAAUCCUAAGUUCAUGCAACUAGAGGUUUCAAGCAACUCCUACACUUAAGUGCACAUUGCAAUCCUACAAGCAUUAAGUGUAGUAAAGUAGCAUAUAAUAACAUGGUUAUGCAUAAAACCGGGGCUUGCCUUCAAUUGCUGGGGCUGCGGGGAGAUCCUCAAUAGCAGCCUCUGAAGCCUGCUCCUGGUCCUCCUCUUGGACAGGUCCUUGCUCGGGGAUGAGCACGUACUCUCCGUCGGCAAGAUUACAAUCUAAUGAAUGCAAUGCGUAAGAUAUAUGCAUGAUAUGAUAUGUGCUUUUAGAAAUUACAACUUUAAAGGUGUAUGAUCUUUUGAGUUAAAACAAGUUAACUUUACUUAUGUAAAACCCUUAGUGGUAUACUUGGUAAAUUGGGUUAUACUUAGCUAAGGUAAGGGGUAGGUUUAUUUUUUUGGGGUUCCACUGAAUUCCUUUUAAGUCUUAGGGAUAAAUGAUAAGUUCUCAAGUUAGACUUAUUGGGGUGAGGUUUAUUUCUUCUUCUCUUUUCUUUUAUUCUCUUUAAUGUUUUGGAGUAGGUCUGAACUACAAGUUGCUUUUAUAAAAUUCUAAAAAUUCUGCAAAAAUUGCAGUGGCUUGUUACUGGUGUGUUUUGCUCUGUCUCAAAAUUGGGGGAUCAGAAGGUGAAUAGUUUUCUCUGGACAAAAUUAUCAAACUCUAGGGCAGAAGGGGUGCUUUGAACUACAACUACUAUUUAAUAGUGGGUAAUUCUCUAAAACUUAUUUUUGCUGGCUUUUAGGUGUUAUAACAUGACUUGAUACAAAUUUUUAAUCAUUAUUACCUCUUAAUAAAUUUUCUAUGGUUUUCUCAAGUUUCUAGCCAAAUGGGUGCUUUCUACUACCACUAUAUUUGAAAAAUAUCAAACAACAGAGUUCUUAUUUUUCUUGGUUAUUAUUUUGUGCAAGAGCAAUCAUUCUGAAGUUUGGCUUCUUUUAGCUUAAGGGAAGGGGUGGUUUGCAUUAUUUGAAUUAAGUGGUCUUUCUCUUUAAUCAUUAGCAAAAGGUAUGGGUUUACUUCUUCUUCAUGGGUUUGCAUUUUUCUCUGGUAGUUUACCUCAUCAUGAGCUUAGCAAAUUUUUGGUUGCCUAUUAUCACAUUAAAAGGGGUUGUUCAUGAUUUAUUUGGAAAAUGCUUUAUUAUCACCUUGUAUUUAUUUUCUUUACUUAAAAAGUUGGGCUGAGGUGCUCUGUAUUUUUGUAGUGGGGCUCUGGUGGUUAUAAGUCCACUAGAUUUUUAUUAAUCAUUUUGGUUAUAGUUUUGUAACUCUAAUAAUUGAUUUUCAGUCUAUAUGAGGCUAAACAAAUCAUCUUAAUUUAAAACUGGUCCAAAUUAAUGGUCUCUGUAUUUUUCCUAGGUUCUCUGUUGCAUAAGUAAACUAGGAAAAAUAUUAUUAAUCACUGUUCAUUAAUUUCUAAGGCCUUUCUGAUUUUCUCUAAGUUUUGGACAAUUUAGCUUUAAAUGAAAAACUACAUCAUAUUUUUCAAUGCUGGGUUUCCUACUAUUUUUAAACAGUGCCUAAAUAAGGUUUAAACAUCUACAAAUUUUCUUAAGCUCAGCACAAAGGAAAAACAAAUUUUCCUUAAUUAAACAAGUUUUAGUGGGUUUCUGUUUUUAAAUUUAAACUUUAAAAUUUAGAACAGAAAGCAUGGGGUUUACUAUUUUUAAAUGAUAGAUCAUAAAAUUCAGAAGCUAGCAAAAUUGGUUUGACAACUUUUUAUUAAGAUUUCAUCAAGUUAUGGAUUUUCUAAGUUCUCUGGUCAUUUUAAAAAGAAUAACAGAAUUGAUUAAAUGGAAAUCCACUUUGCACUGGGGUCCCUGGCGGUUUUCUAAGUUUUCUUCGCGAAUCAGUCCUUAGGUUACUAUUCACAUGAGUCACUGACAUUACAGAAAACCCCUCGGGUUCUACCAAUCCUAACCCGAGGUCCUUCUUCUACCUCAAACAGUAACUGCGGCGGAGAAAAGGGCGGAGGGGCUUACCGGCGGCGAGAUUGCUCCGGUGAAGUGGUCGAGGACGAAGGGGAGGUCUCGGGGAUCACAACGGUGUGCGGAACGCCGUCGGAGAUGGCCGGAGUCGGUCGGUCCACGCGCGCAGGCGGGGAUGCUCGUCGGCGGCGAGGAGACCGGCCUGGUCACGGCGAGAUAGUUCAAUCAAAUAGGUCAGGGAGGUCCACGGGAUGCCAGAGAAGAUAUGCGCGAAAGGAAUUGGGCGGAGACUCACUGGAUAGCUCGGUCCACGCGCGGCGGCGGAAGACCGAAGUCCGGUGAGGUCGAUCUCGGGCCUCCGGUGAAAUCCGGCCGGGUCCGAGGGCUUGGCAAGCUUCACGGGCUACUGGCGGAGCUAGCCGAAGCACUGGCUGGGCUUGAGGGUGGCUGGAGUUGGCUGGCCACGGCGGCCGAAGCUCUGGCGGCAAUGGCAGGCGAAAUUAAGCUCGCCGGAGCUAAGGAAAGGUGGCUGGCCGGAGAGGGUGAGUGCGGGGCGAAGAGAGGUGCGCCCGAGGAGGCUUUAUAGGCGCGGGCGGGCACGGCCGAGGGCGUGGGCGCGUGGCGGACUUGACCGGACGCCGGGGUGAGCGCGCGCGCGGGUUAGGCGAGCUCUGGCGUGCCGACCAGGGUCGAACACGUGUGCCCGUGCGUUCUGCCCAAGUUCUGGCGCGUGUGGUCGCUCAUCCGAGCCUGCUCUUGCCUUGGUCAGUGCACAAAACCUCUUCUCCUCCCUACAAGCUACCAUUCUUGUGUGGGGGUCAUAGGAUUUUGCCUACUAGUUGCAGAGAUAUGGAGCCAGGAAAUCUGGUCUGUCUCCCUGCCCAAACCUGAGGCAAAUCCAAGGUUUUGUCGUGUCUAGGGCUCGCGUCCCAAUGCCAUCUUCUGGCACACGACAGAGGGGUUAGUUAGACACAAUUUUGUCAAUGGGGCCAUUAGGAUUCGAGUUAGGGAUCAAGGUGAACAUCCCUGAUCUUUGGCUCAAGGUCUGAAUUUCAGAAUUCUGAAAUUUAGAAAUCCCAAUGAGUCCCCACAUGAGAAGCUUGAUUUGGGGUUUUAUUUGAGUUAUUUUGGCUAAGCUUUCUCAACAUUUCUUGUUGCCCAUUAAAUAUUCUUUAAUUUUCAUAAUUGGCUCAAAUCAUAAUUUUAAACUUUUCAUUCCCUUUUUCUUAUUUUCUUGAAUUUUUCUCAUGGGGCUCACUUUAGGGUUUUUAAUUAGGGUUGCACAUUCUUAUCUUUUCAAAGACUCAAUUGUUUUGAUCAUGUUACUUUUAAGUAUAUACUUGGUGAAUUCUCUAUUACUUAAGUUGUUUUGAUGCUCAUGCUUACUUUGGUUCACAUAAAAUGAUGGUUCUUGGUUUGGCAUUUGAGAAAAACCCUGAGUGACACUGGGGUGUCACAGCCUUCCCCCCUUAAAGGAAUCUCGUCCCGAGAUUCGGGCUAGAGUCCUCCCGGGGUGAAGCGAAGGGUGAGACUGAUAGGAAAAAGGGUGAUGAUUGUUAUUAUUAGGGCAAAACAGCUCUUCGAAUGUCAUUCUCUUUGCAACUUCAGAAGGAAGUCCUUUUAAGUUUCACUUUAUAGCUUCUUCAUUCUGAAUUAAGAUCAUAUUUUUGGAAAUUAGAUUCAAAAGGCAGGAGGAGGGGUUGGGGGUGAUUACGUACCAGCUUCCUUAGGUAGGCAAUCAGGGAAGUUGGAUCUUAAGAAUUCCUCGGUUUCCCAAGUAGCUUCCUCCUCUGAGUGAUUACUCCACUGGACCUUGAACAUCUUGAUCGAUUUAGCCCGAGUUGAUCUUUCCUUGCAAUCCAGAAUCUUGGAGGGGUACUCUUGGUACGAUAGAUCUGGCUCUAUCUCCAAUUCUGGCUCUACUAUGAUCUCGGUCGGCAAUCGAACACACUUCUUCAGCUGAGAUACAUGGAAUACACUGUGAAUGGCAGACAUCUUUGAAGGUAACUUCAGCUCGUAUGCCACGGGUCCACAUGCUUCUAUGAUCUCAUAAGGUCCAAUGUAACGAGGGGCUAGCUUGCCUUUGAUCCCAAACCUCUGCACUCCUUUGGUGGAUGAUACCUUGAGGUAUACAAAACUUCCCACCUCGAACUGGAGAGGUUUCCUUCUUCUAUCAUGAUAGCUCUUUUGCCUGGCCUGAGCAGCUUCUAGAUUUUUCCUGAUCAGCUUGACCUUCCUUUCGGCUUCAGUCACUAAAUCAGGUCCAAAAACUUCUCUUUCACCAGGUUGAGACCAAUUGAGUGGUGUCCUGCACCUUCUUCCAUAGAGAGCUUCAAAAGGUGCCAUCUUUAGGUUGGAUUGAUAACUAUUGUUAUAAGCAAACUCUGCUAAGGAGAGGUGCUUAUCCCAGUUCUUGCCACAAUCGAUCGCACAAGCUCUCAGCAUAUCUUCUAGAAUUUGGUUUACCCUUUCCGUCUGACCAUCAGUCUGUGGGUGGUAAGCUGAACUCCUGAUUAGCUUGGUUCCCAAAGACUCUUGCAAUUGUUCCCAAAAUCUGGCAACAAAUUGGGCUCCUCGGUCAGAAACAAUGGUCCGAGGUAAUCCGUGCAAACACACGAUCCGGUCAAUAUACAAUUCUGCAUAUUUCUGAGCCUUAUCAGUGGUGUGCACAGGAAGAAAAUGUGCCACUUUCGUCAAUCGGUCCACAAUAACCCAAAUCGAAUCGUGAUGACGAGAGGUGUUGGGCAGACCCACAAUGAAAUCCAUGCUGAUGUCGUCCCACUUCCACGAAGGUACGGACAGUGGUUGCAAGGCUCCAGCGGACUUCAAGUGGCUUGCCUUUAUCCUCUGACAGGUGUCACACUGUGAUACAUACUGGGCUAUCUCCCUCUUCAUUCUGGUCCACCAGUACAAAAGCUUCAAAUCAUGGUACAUCUUGGUGCUUCCCGGAUGCAUAGAGAAUUUGGAGAGAUGAGUCUCAUCCAAAAUUUUCCUCUUGAGCUCCUGGUCCUUAGGAAUCACCAAUCUGCUUUUGAACCAUAACACACCUUUCUCAUCCUGGCGGAAACAAUUAUACUUCUCAACCUUCUGAUGGAGAUUCUUCUUGAUAAUCUGCACUCCCUUGUCGCUGAGCUGGGCCAUGAUAAUCUGGUCUUGCAAAGCUGGCUCAACAGCAAUUUGAGACAAAGAACCAAAAGGAAUCACUUCAAUUUGCAUCUUGCUCAACUCAUCACACAAGGUGUUAAUGCGGGAAUCCAUCAGAAUACAGUUGCACUGCAACUUCCGACUCAAGGCAUAUGCUACCACAUUAGCCUUCCCUGGGUGAUAAUGUACCUCCAGGUCAUAAUCCUUGAUCAGCUCUAGCCAUCUUCUCUGCCUCAUGUUGAGAUCAGCCUGAGUAAAAAUGUACUUAAGGCUCUUAUGAUCAGUGAAGAUGUUGCAGUGGGUUCCCAUUAGAUAGUGCCUCCACAUCUUCAAUGCAUGAACCACUGCUGCUAACUCAAGGUCAUGAGUGGGAUAAUUUUGCUCAUGAGGCCUGAGUGCUCUUGAGGCAUAAGCAAUGACUCGGUUGUCUUGCAUCAAGACACAACCUAGUCCGGUGCCCGAGGCAUCACAAUACACAUCAAAAGGCUUGCUGCUGUCGGGUUGCGCCAACACUGGUGUCGUGGUCAGAUGCUGCCUUAAUGCAUGGAAGGCAUCUUCGCACUUCUGACUCCACACAAAUUUGACCUCUUUCUUCAGCAACUCAGUAAUAGGCUUCGCAAUUCGAGAGAAGUCCGGAAUAAAUCUUCGGUAAUAACCAGCUAAUCCCAGAAAACUCCGAAUCUGGCGAACAGUUGUUGGUGGCCUCCAGUUCAUCACCUCUUGCACUUUAUCAGGAUCAACAGCUAUUCCAUCCUGAGAGAUAGUGUGACCCAAGAAUUUGAUUUCCUUCAGCCAAAAAUCACACUUGGAUAACUUGGCAUAAAGGUGGUGCUCUCGCAGACGUUGAAGCACUACAUGCAAAUGCACAGCAUGUUCUUCUUCGUUCUUUGAGUACACCAGAAUAUCAUCGAUGAAAACCACCACGAACUUGUCCAAUUCCGGCAUGAAAACAGAAUUCAUCAGAUACAUGAAAUAUGCUGGUGCAUUUGUCAGCCCGAAUGACAUCACCAAGAAUUCAUAUAGCCCAUAUCUGGUUGAGAAUGCCGUCUUCGGAAUAUCACUUGCUCGUAUUUUGAUCUGAUGGUAGCCAGAGCGAAGGUCUAUCUUGGAAAACACCUUGGCCCCGACCAACUGGUCAAAAAGAACAUCAAUACGAGGCAAAGGAUACUUGUUCUUGAUAGUUACCGCAUUAAGAGGGCGGUAAUCUAUACACAGCCUCAAGCUUUCAUCCUUCUUCUUCACAAACAGUGCUGGACAUCCCCAAGGCGAAGUGCUUGGGCGAAUAAAACCCUUAUCCAGCAACUCUUGCAAUUGCUUCUUCAACUCUGCCAACUCAGCGGGUGGCAUUCGGUAGGGCCUCUUGGAAAUUGGGGCCGUUCCCGGUUGCAACUCGACGGCGAAUUCAAUAUCCCGGUCCGGUGGCAUUCCUGGCAAUUCAUCAGGAAAGACAUCUGCAUACUCACAGACCACUGGGAUCUUCUUCAGGGGUAACUCCGUCAUAGAGAAAGCACAUGACUGAGAAGAACCCUGACUAGGCAGAAUCAAAGUGAAAUUCCCGCAGAAUGGAGAAUUAACUUCCACGGUAUGGCUGGCUACAUCCAGCACAACUUGGUGCAAGGUCAUCCAAUUUGCCCCUAGAAUAAUGUCCACAUUUUCCAAUCCCAACACAAGAAGAGUGGUUUUGAUAAUGUGGCUUCCCAGUUGAAUAGGCACACUUUGGUUUAAUUGAUUAGUUGCAAUUUUACCCCCAGGUGUGACUAUCAUGAAUGACCCUUUUGAGUGAGAGAAUGGCAGUUUGCAUUUAGCACUGAACUUUUGGCUAAUGAAACUAUGAGAUGCACCAGAAUCAAACAGAAUUAAAGCAGGUUGAUUAUAAACUGAAAAGAUACCGGUCAUGAUAGGAGCUCCUUCUGGCACUUCCUCUAGAGCAGUGAAGUUGAGCUUCCCUUGCCUGACUUGCACCUUCUGCUUUCUUCCCUUGUCUUGAUUUGGUGCUGGCAUCUGCCUCUGCUGGUUCCUAGGACAAUUCUUGGCAUAGUGGCCCACGUUGCCACAAGUGAAGCACUUGUUCCCAUUGCCCUGGUGGAACUGCUGCUGCUGCUGAGGCUGAUUGUUCCUUGGGGCGGGAGCUGGAUAGCGGUUGGGUGCCGGCUGCUGCUGCUGCUGAGGUGGCCUGAUCACCCAUCUGCCUGCCUGCUGCUGAAAACCCCUGCUCUGAUUGUGAGAAACAAUCCGGAACCUCUGAGCCUGAGCGGAUGGUGCUGCCAUUGGUGCCUUUCUCUUCUUCUCUGCCCGGUGAGCAACAAUGCAAUCCUCCUGGGAGAUGGCCAUGUUGACCAACUCAUUGAAGCUAUCAGCCCGGACAGUGUUGAGUCGUUCCCGCAGCUUGGUAUUGAGACCCCUGCGGAAGCGAUCCCUCUUCUUCUCAUCAGAAUCAGCAUGAUACCCUGCAUACUGGCAUAAGUCGUUGAAGGCUUGCGCAUACUGCAGUACCGUGCGAGUUCCUUGAUUAAGGGCCAGAAAUUCAUUCAACUUCCGAUCAAGAAUGCCAGCUGGGAUGUGGUGUCCCCUGAAGGCAGUCUUGAAUUCCUCCCAAGAUACCUCACGAUCAGCGGGGAGCAUAGCACGGAAGUGGUCCCACCAAGUCCGAGCAGGGCCGCGAAGCUGCUGUGUGGCGAAGCGAGCCUUGGCCUCAUCAGGGCAGUCUCCUGUGAGGAGGGGAAACUUGGACUCGACGACGCGAAGCCACACGUCGGCGUCCAACGGAUCCUCUGCCUUGGUGAACAAGGGCGGCUGUGUGCUCAGAAACUCCUGGUAUGUUGCCAUAGCCGGAGGUCGCUGAUGCUGGCCUCCACCAUGAUGCUGUUGGUGGGGCUGGCGCUGCAAGAGCUGUCGCAGAAUCUCAUUCUGCUGGGCCAUCAGCUCCUGCACUGUGGGAGCUGGGGGAGGUGGCGGGGGAGCUUGCUCGUUCUGCCCGCGACGCUGCCUAGCUGCCAUCUGAAAACAAAGAUUGUCGCCAUCGUUAUCCCAACUCACAGUUUCGAACGACAAGAUAUCAUCUCAUAUGGAAGGAGAAAUGCCAUAAUCAUAAUAUUAGGUUCGAAAUGAAGAUAACACGGUGACAAAGAUCCCACAGAUUUCAAAAGUUUACAGGGUUACAUCAAUCAGGGGAAAGUACCCACAAGCCUAGUUCAAAAUGUGAUACUACUAAGCUCGCAUAGGUUUCUAUCCACCUAAAAGUGUCAAAGCGACUGCUUAACCCUGAGCGGUGGAAGCGACACUGGAUACGGGUGAAGGAGGCAUCGCGGAGGUAGUCCCAUUGGCACCAGGGGCUGGUCCUAGCUCCUCGGGAGCCUCUUCUCCCUCGCUUCCUGCUUCAUUGGCCUCCAUCUCCAGGUGGUGUAUGUCCAAGUGGUCAUUUCCUUCCUCGAGUUCCCUCUACACAUCGUGAAGCUGGUUCUCCAAGACAUCGAUAGUGUUGUCUCGGAUCUCCACUUGCUGCUCCAGGGUGGUAAUACGCUGGCUCAGCCUUUCCACCUGCAGAUCCUUCUCCACCAACUCUGUGGAUAGGUCGACCACAAAAUCUUCCCGACUGUCGAGAGUGAGCUUGGCAGCCUGAGCGGUGUUAGCAAGAAGUGUCAUAGCAUCGCUCUGAAGGGCCUGAAGGCAGUACAGCGCACUCAUGCACUGAACAAUGACCCUCCCAACCAAGUCAGGAUACAUUGCCCACACAUCCUUCACAUGGCUCACGCGGUUACACCACAUGGGAUCAUCCUUCUUCUCAGCAGGGAAGAGUCCCAAGGGGUGCAUCACCAUCUCCAGGGGAUGGUAGCCACAGAAAGUCGUCAGAGUCUUCAUGGCUGCUGCUUCAACGGUGUCGUCCGUCCUGAGUCCAAUCGUCUCAGAGUCAAGAGAACGCCAACCCGGCUGAAGGGGAUGAGCCUCCAAAGUCAGCCAGACCCGACAACGAGGUACCCGAUGCUCCUCAUACAACUGCACCGUGUACAAAGGGGGCGUAGGGUAACCGGCGGAGUUAAGCACUUCCCACAAGAUGGAAGGAAAGCCAUCACGAGAAAGGAAGUCAGAACUGAAACGAGAGUCUCCUCCACUGGCGGGGGUGGGUGAAUUCAUCUGCGGAAGGGAAUCAAAGAUAAAGAUUAUGGUGGAAGGAAAAAGAAAAAGAGAGCCCGGAUGGUUUUCAAGAAAGGGGGUUAGCUCAAAUUUUAAUUCCUCUUUGGGGUUUUAUAAUGCAUGCAUGCUGGAAGAAACGUUGCCUCUCAAAAGAAAGAUAGGGUGCCUUUUUAGGGCAUCCAAAAAAAUAUAAGUAUUGGCCCACGGGGCCUAAUUAAUUAGCCACCUAUUUCUCCCUCUAUGCCUAAGGCCUUUCGUCCUAGGUCUAGUGGUCUAGUCCUGUCGAUCCGUAAUAGUUUCUAGGCAAGUUUUAGAUUUUGAAAAUUGGUAUUCAUGGUUUAUUGUCCUUCUCUGUGGUGGAAUUUGCUCCGAUACCAGCUGUGGCAGAACCACCCGAAUUAUUCCAGCUUAAGUGCCUAAGUCACGCCCCAGGGGUCGUAACACACUUAAAUCGGAAUAACCCGUCAGUCCCUCAGAUCUAGUCUGAUAGAGCCACUUAACCAGGAUCAAAUUCCACAAUCCCACUCGAAGGUGAGUCACAGAAGAAAUACAAUAAAACAGGAAACCUCAAAUUAAGUACUGAGUUAUUACAUAAAUCGGAGUUCUUGAGUAGCAAAUAAAGUUCACAAAAUAAAGUGCAGCGGAUAAUCGAUGUCGUCGGUACUGAGGAAAUGGGCAAGGCCUAGCCCACUACUCCUCGUGCUCCUCUCCUGCCGGAGCAACAACCCACUCGACCGUCCAACCCGGUGGCAGGGUGGCAGGCCAAGUCACACCAUCAACCAAUUCCUGCAUGGUACCUGCAAAAAUGGUGCCACAAGCAAGGCUGAGUAUACUAAUACUCAGCUAGACUUAACCGGUGUGAGGAGUCUACUCCUCUACCUCUAGACCAUGCAGCUGUUUGGCUGAGGGGUUUGGUUUGCCAAAAGCACUAGCUGUUUCUAAAAUCAAUUUUUAGCCUUUCAAGUUCUAUCAUCAUUAACUUAGCUAGGUUUGCUCCUUCUAAGCAUACAUGGUAACAACCAAUUAGUUCAAUCAACGAAUUAUCUCAUGUAACCACAUUUCACUUCUUACUCGAUGCAGUACAAGGAAUCAAGCAGCCUCAUUAGCUGCGAGAAGCAGACGAUUCGAAUCGAGUUUUAAACCUUGCAAGGUAAACCUAAACACACGGCAUGUCAGGGUACUCCGACCCCGCACAUGACAACCGUCCCCAUCAAUUCCCCGUUCGCGUCCAGGCCUCACCGCCUUGGCAUACAAUGCUCCACUGACCCCGGCUGCCGCCGUGCAGUGACCGCACUUGUACCCACCAUAGCUAGCAUGGGAGACCCAGUCUCAGGUCGCAUGACGGAUAAAGUCUGCGCCCGGCUUCACUCAGGUACUAGGUUUACCGGUUACCAUUUUUCCCGGCAUGUGCUUAGUACGUUCAAAAGCUUGACUCAGGUAUCCACACAUUAAUCCUUAAUUCAUUUUUCCCGUCUCAUGGACAAGGCAUCCUCCCUGGAUCCAAAUCCAUAGACCAACAUAGAUCCCGUUAUCAAGAUGAAUACAAUCAAUUCCUGACCUCGCGCGAGUGCUAGAAAAAUCACUCGACUUCUACCGAGAUCCUGAUUAGCAAGCAGCUACUCGACCUGGCAUACUAGUAUUCAUCUCAAAAAGGAAUCCUAAGUUUAUGCAACUAGAGGUUUCAAGCAACUCCUACACUUAAGUGCACAUUGCAAUCCUACAAGCAUUAAGUGUAGUAAAGUAGCAUAUAAUAACAUGGUUAUGCAUAAAACCGGGGCUUGCCUUCAAUUGCUGGGGCUGCGGGGAGAUCCUCAAUAGCAGCCUCUGAAGCCUGCUCCUGGUCCUCCUCUUGGACAGGUCCUUGCUCGGGGAUGAGCACGUACUCUCCGUCGGCAAGAUUACAAUCUAAUGAAUGCAAUGCGUAAGAUAUAUGCAUGAUAUGAUAUGUGCUUUUAGAAAUUACAACUUUAAAGGUGUAUGAUCUUUUGAGUUAAAACAAGUUAACUUUACUUAUGUAAAACCCUUAGUGGUAUACUUGGUAAAUUGGGUUAUACUUAGCUAAGGUAAGGGGUAGGUUUAUUUUUUUGGGGUUCCACUGAAUUCCUUUUAAGUCUUAGGGAUAAAUGAUAAGUUCUCAAGUUAGACUUAUUGGGGUGAGGUUUAUUUCUUCUUCUCUUUUCUUUUAUUCUCUUUAAUGUUUUGGAGUAGGUCUGAACUACAAGUUGCUUUUAUAAAAUUCUAAAAAUUCUGCAAAAAUUGCAGUGGCUUGUUACUGGUGUGUUUUGCUCUGUCUCAAAAUUUGGGGAUCAGAAGGUGAAUAGUUUUCUCUGGACAAAAUUAUCAAACUCUAGGGCAGAAGGGGUGCUUUGAACUACAACUACUAUUUAAUAGUGGGUAAUUCUCUAAAACUUAUUUUUGCUGGCUUUUAGGUGUUAUAACAUGACUUGAUACAAAUUUUUAAUCAUUAAUACCUCUUAAUAAAUUUUCUAUGGUUUUCUCAAGUUUCUAGCCAAAUGGGUGCUUUCUACUACCACUAUAUUUGAAAAAUAUCAAACAACAGAGUUCUUAUUUUUCUUGGUUAUUAUUUUGUGCAAGAGCAAUCAUUCUGAAGUUUGGCUUCUUUUAGCUUAAGGGAAGGGGUGGUUUGCAUUAUUUGAAUUAAGUGGUCUUUCUCUUUAAUCAUUAGCAAAAGGUAUGGGUUUACUUCUUCUUCAUGGGUUUGCAUUUUUCUCUGGUAGUUUACCUCAUCACGAGCUUAGCAAAUUUUUGGUUGCCUAUUAUCACAUUAAAAGGGGUUGUUCAUGAUUUAUUUGGAAAAUGCCUUAUUAUCACCUUGUAUUUAUUUUCUUUACUUAAAAAGUUGGGCUGAGGUGCUCUGUAUUUUUGUAGUGGGGCUCUGGUGGUUAUAAGUCCACUAGAUUUUUAUUAAUCAUUUUGGUUAUAGUUUUGUAACUCUAAUAAUUGAUUUUCAGUCUAUAUGAGGCUAAACAAAUCAUCUUAAUUUAAAACUGGUCCAAAUUAAUGGUCUCUGUAUAUUUCCUAGGUUCUCUGUUGCAUAAGUAAACUAGGAAAAAUAUUAUUAAUCACUGUUCAUUAAUUUCUAAGGCCUUUCUGAUUUUCUCUAAGUUUUGGACAAUUUAGCUUUAAAUGAAAAACUACAUCAUAUUUUUCAAUGCUGGGUUUCCUACUAUUUUUAAACAGUGCCUAAAUAAGGUUUAAACAUCUACAAUUUUUCUUAAGCUCAGCACAAAGGAAAAACAAAUUUUCCUUAAUUAAACAAGUUUUAGUGGGUUUCUGUUUUUAAAUUUAAACUUUAAAAUUUAGAACAGAAAGCAUGGGGUUUACUAUUUUUAAAUGAUAGAUCAUAAAAUUCAGAAGCUAGCAAAAUUGGUUUGACAACUUUUUAUUAAGAUUUCAUCAAGUUAUGGAUUUUCUAAGUUCUCUGGUCAUUUUAAAAAGAAUAACAGAAUUGAUUAAAUGGAAAUCCACUUUGCACUGGGGUCCCUGGCGGUUUUCUAAGUUUUCUUCGCGAAUCAGUCCUUAGGUUACUAUUCACAUGAGUCACUGACAUUACAGAAAACCCCUCGGGUUCUACCAAUCCUAACCCGAGGUCCUUCUUCUACCUCAAACAGUAACCGCGGCGGAGAAAAGGGCGGAGGGGCUUACCGGCGGCAAGAUUGCUCCGGUGAAGUGGUCGAGGACGAAGGGGAGGUCUCGGGGAUCACAACGGUGUGCGGAACGCCGUCGGAGAUGGCCGGAGUCGGUCGGUCCACGCGCGCAGGCGGGGAUGCUCGUCGGCGGCGAGGAGACCGGCCUGGUCACGGCGAGAUAGUUCAAUCAAAUAGGUCAGGGAGGUCCACGGGAUGCCAGAGAAGAUAUGCGCGAAAGGAAUUGGGCGGAGACUCACUGGAUAGCUCGGUCCACGCGCGACGGCGGAAGACCGAAGUCCGGUGAGGUCAAUCUCUGGCCUCCGGUGAAAUCCGGUCGGGUCCGAGGGCUUGGCAAGCUUCACGGGCUACUGGCGGAGCUAGCCGAAGCACUGGCUGGGCUUGAGGGUGGCUGGAGUUGGCUGGCCACGGCGGCCGAAGCUCUGGCGGCAAUGGCAGGCGAAAUUAAGCUUGCCGGAGCUAAGGAAAGGUGGCUGGCCAGAGAGGGUGAGUGCGGGGCGAAGAGAGGUGCGCCCGGGGAGGCUUUAUAGGCGCGGGCGGGCACAGCCGAGGGCGUGGGCGCGCGGCGGACUUGACCGGACGCCGGGGUGAGCGCGCGCGCGGGUUGGGCGAGCUCUGGCGUGCCGACCAGGGUCGAACACGUGUGCCCGUGCGUUCUGCCCAAGUUCUGGCGCGUGUGGUCGCUCAUCCGAGCCUGCUCUCGCCUUGGUCAGUGCACAAAACCUCUUCUCCUCCCUACAAGCUACCAUUCUUGUGUGGGGGUCAUAGGAUUUUGCCUACUGGUUGCAGAGAUAUGGAGCGAGGAAAUCUGGUCUGUCUCCCUGCCCAAACCCGAGGCAAAUCCAAGGUUUUGUCGUGUCUAGGGCUCGCGUCCCAAUGCCAUCUUCUGGCACACGACAGAGGGGUUAGUUAGACACAAUUUUGUCAAUGGGGCCAUUACUAUUCGAGUUAGGGAUCAAGGUGAACAUCCCUGAUCUUUGGCUCAAGGUCUGAAUUUCAGAAUUCUGAAAUUUAGAAAUCCCAAUGAGUCCCCACAUGAGAAGCUUGAUUUGGGGUUUUAUUUGAGUUAUUUUGGCUAAGCUUUCUCAACAUUUCUUGUUGCCCAUUAAAUAUUCUUUAAUUUUCAUAAUUGGCUCAAAUCAUAAUUUUAAACUUUUCAUUCCCUUUUUCUUAUUUUCUUGAAUUUUGCUCAUGGGGCUCACUUUAGGGUUUUUAAUUAGGGUUGCACAUUCUUAUCUUUUCAAAGACUCAAUUGUUUUGAUCAUGUUACUUUUAAGUAUAUACUUGGUGAAUUCUCUAUUACUUAAGUUGUUUUGAUGCUCAUGCUUACUUUGGUUCACAUAAAAUGAUGGUUCUUGGUUUGGCAUUUGAGAAAAACCCUGAGUGACACUGGGGUGUCACAGUACGCCACUAGGGCCAUUGGAUGAGAGAUCUACCGCACAGAUUUAAAAUAUCCAAACUGUUUUCCAUCCGCCAGAUCGGGAUCGAACGACCACGGUUGCAUCAUCGCCAACCGGUACCCGAAUCAGAUCUUGACCGUUAAUCCCUAUCAACGGUCGCACUCCUUCCCCCAACCCUCCUACCUACGACGCACAUGCGGCGACGGCCGCAGAGCCCACUGCAGAGGAGUUCGCCGUCGAACUCCGUCCGACGAAUUGGGGCCCCAAAUUCCAAAUCAAUAGGUGUUGUACGUAGAGAAGGAUGAGGCGAAGCUAUGGGUUAGCAGACUACCUGCGAGAAAGGCGCCCACAAGGCUGGCCACGGCAUGGUGUGAUCGUCGGUGAUUUCCCAAGUCUGGUGAGAAAUUGGGUUGGAAACGGGGGUCGUCGUCGUCCGUCAAUGCCACGAUGAGCCAGCACACACCCAGGCGGCCAUCCCUGACCACAGUGCGGACUUCAAUCGGCGAUGCAGGCCAAGGACUGCGACGGUGACUCCAUUCUCACCUCCCAGAUCAACGGACGGAGUCGUUUCUUCCCCAUAAACUACAGAGCGGCGGCGGGCUUUAGUUUGUACGGCGGCGAGCCCUUGUAGCUGGAGGGCGAGGGCGAGGGCGAGGGCGGUUCGGUAAGUAGAAGGGCAACAUGGGCGGCUUGGGCGUCUGAGGCACCUUCACCGGUGACGCUGGCAGGCCAACGCCCAGCUUUGUUGUUCACCACUGCCACCGCCGGCUCCCGGACUGCAAUCGACUUGCAGCAACAGAGGCCCUUGGCACCCGACGGAUCAAGCGGUGGGAGCACAAAAUUUGGAAUCGAAACUAGGCUAGUCAAAUAUUUACCUCGGUUUCUAGAACCCGUCAUUGUAUAGCGGACUCCUGACGGACGCCAUCAGCUCGCACCAAAUCUAUUGCCACGGAAGGGGGCCUUCAUUGCUUGUUCUAGACGCUUGGGAAAAACCAGCCCCAAGUACGAUGUACACCGGUGAGCACCCCUGAUCCCCCACCCAAAUCCGAGCAAUCGGUGCUCAGCGGUGCUUUUACUCGCCGAUGGCUUAUGGGAGGUCGCAGGGGCCAUCUUAUAUGUACCUGGGCAGGGCCAUGGGGGCGGCAGACUCCUAGGAUUCCGGUGGGGGUUUGGCCGGUGCAACCCCCCGGAUUUGAUGGGAUAGCAGCGGCACCGGGUGUGUUUGUUGCCAGGAAUCACGCAGUCUGUUGGAGUCCUACACGGGGAAGACAACGCUGACGGGUUGGCCCACGAUGUCAGAGACUCGCCAGCAAGCGCGUGGUAGUCUGAGAGGGCAC
rnacentral:lncRNA from 1 species